rnacentral:rRNA from 1 species
AGAGUUUGAUCAUGGCUCAGGACGAACGCUGGCGGCGCGCCUAACACAUGCAAGUCGAACGAGAGAGGAAGAGCUUGCUUUUCCGAUCGAGUGGCGAACGGGUGAGUAACGCGUGAGGAACCUGCCUCAAAGAGGGGGGACAACAGUUGGAAACGACUGCUAAUACCGCAUAAGCCCACGGCUCGGCAUCGAGCAGAGGGAAAAGGAGCAAUCCGCUUUGAGAUGGCCUCGCGUCCGAUUAGCUAGUUGGUGAGGUAACGGCCCACCAAGGCGACGAUCGGUAGCCGGACUGAGAGGUUGAACGGCCACAUUGGGACUGAGACACGGCCCAGACUCCUACGGGAGGCAGCA